rnacentral:rRNA from 1 species
GAUGAACGCUGACAGAAUGCUUAACACAUGCAAGUCUACUUGAACUUCGGUUUGGGUGGCGGACGGGUGAGUAACGCGUAAAGAACUUGCCUCACAGAUAGGGACAACAUUUGGAAACGAAUGCUAAUACCUGAUAUUAUGAUUUUAGGGCAUCCUAGAAUUAUGAAAGCUAUAUGCACUGUGAGAGAGCUUUGCGUCCCAUUAGCUAGUUGGAGAGGUAACGGCUCACCAAGGCGACGAUGGGUAGCCGGCCUGAGAGGGUGAUCGGCCACAAGGGGAGUGAGACACGGCCCGUACUCCUACGGGAGGCAGCAGUGGGGAAUAUUGGACGAUGGACCAAGAGUCUGUUCCAGCAAUUCUGUGUGCACGAUGAAGUUUUUCGGAAUGUAAAGUGCUUUCAGUUGGGAAGAAAAAAAUGACGGUACCAACAGAAGAAGUGACGGCUAAAUACGUG